UUUUGAGGUGUUAGGGUUGAGAGAAUGAGAAGAGAGAGUGAAAACCCACUUCUAUAGCCUCUCAUUAGUGCAAAAUUGCAUAAAAACCCCUCAACAAAGCCUCUCUUGCAACAGCCCAAACUGGGCCAUUUUCGCGCUCGGGGACCGGUCCUUGCGGUGAGAGACCGGUCCCUGAGAGACCGGUCCUUGCGGUGAGAGACCGGUCCCCGAAGGUCCAGAACUCAGCCUCAAGGACUUAGCCAAAUUUCAGCCUUUUUCACCGUUUCUUCUCCGUUUUCGCUCGUUUUCGCUCGUUUGACCUCC
rnacentral:lncRNA from 1 species